rnacentral:rRNA from 1 species
GACGAACGCUGGCGGCGUGCUUAACACAUGCAAGUCGAACGGAAAGGCCCUGCUUUUGUGGGGUGCUCGGGUGGCGAAGGGGUGAGUACCACGUGAUUACCCUGCCCUUGCCUUUGGGAUAACUUCAGGAAACUGGGGCUAAUACCGGAUAGGAGCUCCUCCUGCAUGGGGGGGGUGGGAAAGUUUCGGCGGUUGGGGAUGGACUCGCGGCUUAUCAGCUUGUUGGUGGGGUAGUGGCUUACCAAGGCUUUGACGGGUAGCCGGCCUGAGAGGGUGACCGGCCACAUUGGGACUGAGAUACGGCCCAGACUCCUACGGGAGGCAGCAGUGGGGAAUAUUGCACAAUGGGCGGAAGCCUGAUGCAGCAACGCCGCGUGCGGGAUGACGGCCUUCGGGUUGUAAACCGCUUUCGCCUGUGACGAAGCGUGAGUGACGGUAAUGGGUAAAGAAGCACCGGCUAACUACGUG